rnacentral:rRNA from 1 species
CUCCUACGGGAGGCAGCAGUGAGGAAUAUUGGGCAAUGGAGGAGACUCUGACCCAGCCAUGCCGCGUGUAGGAAGAAUGCCCUAUGGGUUGUAAACUACUUUUAUACAGGAAGAAACACUGGUAUGUAUACCAGCUUGACGGUACUGUAAGAAUAAGGACCGGCUAACUCCGUGCCAGCAGCCGCGGUAAUACGGAGGGUCCAAGCGUUAUCCGGAAUCAUUGGGUUUAAAGGGUCCGCAGGCGGUCAAUUAAGUCAGAGGUGAAAUCCCGUCGCUCAACGACGGAACUGCCUUUGAUACUGGUUGACUUGAGUCAUAUGGAAGUAGAUAGAAUGUGUAGUGUAGCGGUGAAAUGCAUAGAGAUUACACAGAAUACCGAUUGCGAAGGCAGUCUACUACGUAUGUACUGACGCUGAGGGACGAAAGCGUGGGGAGCGAACAGGAUUAGAUACCCUGGUAGUCCACGCCGUAAACGAUGGAUACUAGUUGUUGGGCAAUAGCUCAGUGACUAAGCGAAAGUGAUAAGUAUCCCA